UACGCAGCGACGCCGCGUGAGGGAUGAAGGCCUUCGGGUUGUAAACCUCUUUCAGCAGGGACGAAAUCAGACGGUACCUGCAGAAGAAGCACCGGCCAACUACGUGCCAGCAGCCGCGGUAAUACGUAGGGUGCAAGCGUUGUCCGGAAUUAUUGGGCGUAAAGAGCUCGUAGGCGGUUUGUCGCGUCGGCUGUGAAAACUCGGGGCUCAACCCCGAGCCUGCAGUCGAUACAGGCAGACUAGAGUGCGGUAGGGGAGACUGGAAUUCCUGGUGUAGCGGUGAAAUGCGUAGAUAUCGGGAGGAACACCAGUGGCGAAAGCGGUCUUCUGGACUGUUUCUGACACUCAGACGCGAAAGCUAGGGUAGCAAACGGGAUUAGAGACCCCGGUAGUCCUAGCUGUAAACGAUGUGAACUUGGCGUCGGCGGGUUCAAAGCCGUCGGUGCCGAAGCCAACGCGAUAAGUUCACCGCCUGGGGACUACGGCCGCAAGGUUAAAACUCAAAGGAAUUGACGGGUCCCCGCACAAGCAGCGGAGCGUGUGGUUUAAUUCGAUGUUACACGAAGGAACCUUACCCAGGUUUGACAUGUAGGUGGUAGGGAAGCGAAAGCAGACCGACCCUUCGGGGAGCCUACACAGGUGUUGCAUGGCUGUCG
rnacentral:rRNA from 1 species